rnacentral:rRNA from 1 species
UACGGAAGGCAGCAGUGGGGAAUAUUGCACAAUGGGCGCAAGCCUGAUGCAGCCAUGCCGCGUGUAUGAAGAAGGCCUUCGGGUUGUAAAGUACUUUCAGCGGGGAGGAAGGCGAUGCGGUUAAUAACCGCGUCGAUUGACGUUACCCGCAGAAGAAGCACCGGCUAACUCCGUGCCAGCAGCCGCGGUAAUACGGAGGGUGCAAGCGUUAAUCGGAAUUACUGGGCGUAAAGCGCACGCAGGCGGUCUGUUAAGUCAGAUGUGAAAUCCCCGGGCUUAACCUGGGAACUGCAUUUUGAACUGGCAGGCUUGAGUCUUGUAGAGGGGGUAGAAUUCCAGGUGUAGCGGUGAAAUGCGUAGAGAUCUGGAGGAAUACCGGGUGGCGAAGGCGGGCCCCUGGGACAAAGACUGACGCUCAGGGUGCGAAAGCGUGGGGAGCAAACGAGGAUUAGGAUA